rnacentral:rRNA from 1 species
CACCUAGGAGGAUCCUGAGUACGGCGGAACACGAGGAAUUCCGUCGGAAUCCGGGAGGACCAUCUCCCAAGGCUAAAUACUCCCUAGUGACCGAUAGUGAACCAGUACCGUGAGGGAAAGGUGAAAAGCACCCCGGAAGGGGAGUGAAAUAGAUCCUGAAACCGUGUGCCUACAACAAGUUAGAGCCCGUUAAUGGGUGAUAGCGUGCCUUUUGUAGAAUGAACCGGCGAGUUACGAUAGCAUGCGAGGUUAAGUUGAAGAGACGGAGCCGUAGCGAAAGCGAGUCUGAAUAGGGCGAAUGAGUAUGUUGUCGUAGACCCGAAACCAUGUGAUCUACCCAUGUCCAGGUUGAAGGUGCGGUAAAACGCACUGGAGGACCGAACCCACGUACGUUGAAAAGUGCGGGGAUGAGGUGUGGGUAGCGGAGAAAUUCCAAACGAACUUGGAGAUAGCUGGUUCUCUCCGAAAUAGCUUUAGGGCUAGCCUCGGAAUUGAGAAUGAUGGAGGUAGAGCACUGUUUGGACUAGGGGCCCAUCUCGGGUUACCGAAUUCAGAUAAACUCCGAAUGCCAUUCAUUCAUAUCCGGGAGUCAGACUGUGAGUGAUAAGAUCCAUAGUCGAAAGGGAAACAGCCCAGACCACCAGCUAAGGUCCCCAAAUAACUAUUAAGUGGAAAAGGAUGUGGGGUUGCACAGACAACUAGGAUGUUGGCUUAGAAGCAGCCACCAUUUAAAGAGUGCGUAAUAGCUCACUAGUCGAGUGACCCUGCGCCGAAAAUGUACCGGGGCUAAAUAGUUUACCGAAGCUGUGGAACACACCAAUGGUGUGUUGGUAGGAGAGCGUUCUAAGGGCGUUGAAGGUAGAUCGUGAGGACUGCUGGAGCGCUUAGAAGUGAGAAUGCCGGUAUGAGUAGCGAAAGACAGGUGAGAAUCCUGUCCACCGAAUGACUAAGGUUUCCUGGGGAAGGCUCGUCCGCCCAGGGUUAGUCGGGACCUAAGCCGAGGCCGACAGGCGUAGGCGAUGGACAACAGGUUGAUAUUCCUGUACCCGUUGUUUUUGUUUGAGCAAUGGAGGGACGCAGGAGGCUAAGAAGUGCAGACUGAUGGAUAUGUCUGUUCAAGCAGUAAGUCUUGGUAGGAGUCAAAUGCUUCUACCUAUACGGACAAGCUGUGAUGAGGAGGGAAAUAAUAGUACCGAAGCUUCUGAUGUCACACUGCCAAGAAAAGCUUCUAGUGAGAAAACAACGGCCCGUACCGCAAACCGACACAGGUAGUCGAGGAGAGAAUCCUAAGGUGAGCGAGAGAACUCUCGUUAAGGAACUCGGCAAAAUGACCCCGUAACUUCGGGAGAAGGGGUGCUGCUCUAACGAGCAGCCGCAGUGAAUAGGCCCAAGCGACUGUUUAUCAAAAACACAGGUCUCUGCAAAAUCGAAAGAUGACGUAUAGGGGCUGACGCCUGCCCGGUGCUGGAAGGUUAAGAGGAGUGCUUAGCGCAAGCGAAGGUACGAAUUGAAGCCCCAGUAAACGGCGGCCGUAACUAUAACGGUCCUAAGGUAGCGAAAUUCCUUGUCGGGUAAGUUCCGACCCGCACGAAAGGCGUAAUGAUUUGGGCACUGUCUCAACGAGAGACUCGGUGAAAUUUUAGUACCUGUGAAGAUGCAGGUUACCCGCGACAGGACGGAAAGACCCCAUGGAGCUUUACUGUAGUUUGAUAUUGAGUACCUGUAAGUCAUGUACAGGAUAGGUAGGAGCCAUUGAAAUAGGGACGCUAGUUUCUAUUGAGGCGUUGUUGGGAUACUACCCUUGACUUAUGGUUACUCUAACCCGCUGGCAUAAUCGGCCAGGGAGACAGUGUCUGACGGACAGUUUGACUGGGGCGGUCGCCUCCUAAAGAGUAACGGAGGCGCUCAAAGGUUGGCUCAGAUUGGUUGGAAAUCAAUCGUAGAGUGUAAAGGUAAAAGCCAGCUUGACUGCGAGAGCUACAACUCGAGCAGGUAGGAAACUAGGACUUAGUGAUCCGGUGGUACCGCAUGGAAGGGCCAUCGCUCAACGGAUAAAAGCUACCCUGGGGAUAACAGGCUUAUCUCCCCCAAGAGUUCACAUCGACGGGGAGGUUUGGCACCUCGAUGUCGGCUCGUCGCAUCCUGGGGCUGUAGUCGGUCCCAA